UCAGGAUGAACGCUGGCGGCGUGCUUAACACAUGCAAGUCGAACGAAGCAUUACUUACGAUCCCUUCGGGGUGACGAGUUAUGACUUAGUGGCGGACGGGUGAGUAACGCGUGGAUAACCUACCUCAUACAGGGGGACAACAGUUGGAAACGACUGCUAAUACCGCAUAAGCGCACGGUAUCGCAUGAUACAGUGUGAAAAGCUUUCACGGUGUGAGAUGGAUCCGCGUCUGAUUAGCUAGUUGGUGAGGUAACGGCCCACCAAGGCGACGAUCAGUAGCCGACCUGAGAGGGUGACCGGCCACAUUGGGACUGAGACACGGCCCAAACUCCUACGGGAGGCAGCAGUGGGGAAUAUUGGACAAUGGGGGAAACCCUGAUCCAGCGACGCCGCGUGAACGAUGAAGUAUUUCGGUAUGUAAAGUUCUAUCAGCAGGGAAGAAAAUGACGGUACCUGACUAAGAAGCCCCGGCUAACUACGUGCCAGCCGCCGC
rnacentral:rRNA from 1 species